AAUAUUGGACAAUGGGCGAAAGCCUGAUCCAGCAAUGCCGCGUGAGUGAUGAAGGCCUUAGGGUUGUAAAGCUCUUUUACCCGGGAUGAUAAUGACAGUACCGGGAGAAUAAGCCCCGGCUAACUCCGUGCCAGCAGCCGCGGUAAGACGUAGGAGGCGAGCGUUGUCCGGAGUUACUGGGCGUAAAGGGCGCGCAGGCGGCCCGGUGCGCCGGGGGUGAAAGGCGGUGGCUCAACCACCGGACGGCCCCCGGGACGGCCGGGCUGGAGGGUGGCAGAGGUCGGUGGAAUUCCCGGUGUAGUGGUGAAAUGCGUAGAGACCGGGAGGAACACCCGCGGCGAAGGCGGCCGGCUGGGCCAACCCUGACGCUGAGGCGCGAAGGCCCGGGGAGCGAA
rnacentral:rRNA from 1 species